AUUCCAGCUCCAACAGCGUGUGUUAAUGUUGUUGCAGUCAAAAAGCUCGUAGCUGGAUUUCUGGUGGGAGUGGCCGGUCCGCCGUGAGGUGUGUGCUUGGUUGUCUCCCGUCAUCCUUGCGGGAACUGCUCUGGCAUCAAGUUGUCGGGGUUAGGGAACACAUCGUUCACUGUGAAAAAAUUAGAGUGUUUGAAGCAGGCUCAUGCCGUUGAAUACAUUAGCAUGGAACAACAAGAUAGGACUUUGGCGUCUAUUUUGUUGGUUUCUAGGACCGAGGUAAUGAUUAAUAGGGACAGUUGGGGGCAUUAGUAUUUAAUUGUCAGAGGUGAAAUUCUUGGAUUUAUGAAAGACUAACUACUGCGAAAGCAUUUGCCAAGGAUGUUUUCAUUG
rnacentral:rRNA from 1 species